UAGUGGAGGAAGGACCAAUAUUUUCAGCAAAUUAAUGGCUUAAAAUACAAAUACAAUAUUAUUUCCUACCCAAACAAACAACCCACAUUUCUAUACCCAACCCACAUUUUUAACCCAUAUUUAAAUUAAUGGGCCAGCCAAAACGGACCAGCCCAAUUCUAUUUUUUACCCGACUCGGGUCCGGCCCAAUUCCUUUCCCUAACCCUACUUCUUUCUCUUCUCUUCUCCUCUUUCUCUUUUCUUGCUUUCUCCGCCUCCCUUCUCUCUCUCUCUCUUUUCUCCUCUUUAUCCGCCUCAUCUCCUCAUCUCUCUCUCUUCCUUUUCUCCCUUUCCUCCGCCUCAUCUCCCUCGUCUCACUCCCCAUUGCCGCCGCUCCUCUUCCCUUUUCCCCACACACGCUCCCCUCCACUCACCCGACAUCACUCCACUCACCCAUGCCUCUGCUCCCCACUCCCUUUUGUACACAAACGAAACCCUAUAAAUGUAACACGAAGUUGAACGGUGAAAGGGGGGGAUCAACAAAUCAAACGGGGUUUUGGGGAAGAGACGAACAGAUUGACAAAGAUCUGGAAAUCAAAAAAAAAAUCAAAGAACAAAAAAAGGGGGAAUGGAUUCGGGCUCAGGGACAUACACCAUUUUCCAAUCUUAGUUUUCACUUUUCCGGUGAACUCUAGCCGGAUACUACUCUGAAUCACUAAAUUUUCCACACGACCAAGUUUGAGUUUAAUCGAAGCAUCAUUUGUUCGUCGUCUCCGAGUAGAUUCGAGGCCCCAUCGCCCAUUCACUGCACCAACAGAAGUCGAAGAGUCUUACUUUAAGACUCGACGUCAUCUCGCAAGGGCCUGAAACGUGCAUCCAACGUCCUCCUCCACAUUCGGUGUUGGGCUAAAGCCUAACAAAAUCCUCUUCCCCUUCCCACCGGUUCUGUCCGCUGCCAACUAAGAGUACAAAAAUCUGGGUUAAGCCCAGUAGCAGCAGCCAACUAUAGCAAUCAGCCUAAAUGGGCCAGUCCAUUUGAUUGCAUGCCACUGGGUCGGAACCCAACAACACAACCGAUUGUAGCAGCAGCAGUCCAGAAAUGGAUUGAUCCACUCGCUCUUCUCUCUCUUUGCCUUAUUUUUAUGUAUUUGACUUACUUUGUAUGAUUAACAUCUUAUUUUUAUCUCUUAGCUUUAUAUGAGUUAUAGGAAAUAGUACGGGUAAUUCUAUGAACAUUGGGUAGCUACUUUAAGAAAACUAUUAGUUAUAAUAUCUAUAGUAUUUAUUUGAGUAAAUGGAUUUUCAAAAUAGCAUCGACUA